rnacentral:pre_miRNA from 1 species
CAUGCACCAGUGGGGUCCCUCGGCCUGGCUUGUGCCCUCUUGCAUCCCUUGGGGGAAUGUCAGACUGCAGGUUUUGGCCCAAUCCCUGCAGGCCAGGCCGAGGGACCCCACUGGUGCAUG